GACGAACGCUGGCGGCGUGCUUAACACAUGCCAGUCGAACGGGAAGGCCCUGCUUGCAGGGUGCUCGAGUGGCGAACGGGUGAGUAACACGUGGGUGAUCUGCCCCUUAUUUUGGGAUAAGCCUGGGAAACUGGGUCUAAUACUGGAUAGGACCAUGCUGUAGGUGGUGUGGUGGAAAGAUUAGUUUCGGUAAGGGAUGAGCUCGCGGCCUAUCAGCUUGUUGGUGGGGUAAUGGCCUACCAAGGCGUCGACGGGUAGCCGGCCUGAGAGGGUGGACGGCCACAUUGGGACUGAGAUACGGCCCAGACUCCUACGGGAGGCAGCAGUGGGGAAUAUUGCACAAUGGGCGCAAGCCUGAUGCAGCGACGCCGCGUGGGGGAUGACGGCCUUCGGGUUGUAAACUCCUUUCAGCCAUGACGAAGCCCUUGUGGUGACGGUAGUGGUAGAAGAAGCACCGGCUAACUACGUG
rnacentral:rRNA from 1 species